GUUUGAAUAGCUUAAGUUUAAAGCACUACAUUGAAGCUGUAGUUAUAGUAUUUAUACUUUCAAAUA
rnacentral:tRNA from 1 species